GGACAGCUUGUUCCUUCUCUGAGGGCAAAAGACAAGGGAGCCAGGUUUCCUUAGCCUUUUUCUCUGGGCAGCGUUUUUUCAGACAGGAAGGGCGGGAGAAGGGCUCCCAGGAUGAGUCCUGGUAGCCAUGUCUGCAGCUCUACUGCCAUCGUGCGGAAACAGUUUCAAGAAGACACCCAGCGCCAUUCAUGCCUCCUUCCCAGGAGGCCUUGCUGUUGGGCAGAUCGGACAGGCAGGGAGUUGGAAGAUCCUUGGGCUGCCAUCUGGGCCUCCUUGCCUUCUCCUAGGGCCCUGAGGGAGACCUGGGCAGUGGCGCUCCCUCACCAUAGAACCUGCAGAGCAGGGGGCCCAGAGCUGACUAGCAGCAGCCAGGAAUUGCUCUCACAGGAAGUCGUGGGGCGGGGCCUCGUUGCUCAACUGUGUGGACUUCACCUGAGGGACACUGUGCAAAGGGUAAUGCAGGCCCUUGUGGAUACUGUUUCCUUGUUCAGGUCCCUUGGAGCAAGAUAUAGCAGUCCCUUAUGUGAAGUCACCAUGCUGUUGUGCUCGGAUCCCUUAGCCCCCAGGUGGAGCCCAAAGGACAUGUCAGUUUUGGGUGGCAUAGGGCAGCAUCAGAAGUGUGUCCAGUUGUUUGCAGGCAGGCCUAAUUGUCUGGAGGCUAGGGUGGUCUGAAGAGAAGGGCAGAGAAGAAUUGGAAGAACUUGCAGUGCAGCCGAUCUGCUAAAGACAAGCACCAAGAACGCUUAUGUUUGCAAAGCUGUUAUUUGGUGGAGCCUAUGCAAAAAUUCACUUAAAAUGCAUCAAGGAUCUCCUCAUGAAAACCACACGGACAGCAUUUGAAAGACAAAUGUAGGCCUACAUGUUGCUGUCCAUGGAUGUGGCAAUGUUGUCUUGAAAACACUGCUGAAAGCAGAAAUGAGAGAAGAAUGACUGGAUGGUCAGGAAGUCAUCUCCUUUUGCUUCCAAGGGAGUGACCAACAAUAGGAAGAGGCAGCUCACAGAAUAAGAGAAAAAAGUUGCAAUUACCUGGGAACAUUCUCACACUCAGAAUUUUUGAGGAAACUGGGCUUCGCAACCUCUUUGUAUCGCCAGGCUGAGACAAAGCAGAAAUGCAGAGUCUGGGUGCAGAACCUGGAUAAUGAUGGACACCAGGAAUGUGCACACAGGUACCACCAGAACAGACCUGACCUUGAUGUUCUCAACACUGUGAGGAGGGAUCCCCGUGCCAUUGCACAGUGACAUCAAGAAAGUGCAUGUUCCUUCUUGUUCCAAGGGGAACAACACAAGGCUGGUACCCUCAAGAGACUGCAUUAGCCUUUUUCCCGGUUUUUUUUUUUUUUUUUUUUCUUUCUUUCUUUUCUUUUUUUUGACAGAGUAUAGAGGUGGUUUAUUUUACUGAGUUGGAAAGUUUUCGUGUUUAUUAAUCCGAAUGUUAUAAUGAAUGACCCCUUCCCAGAUAAUUAACACUUUGCAUUUUAAACGUUUAUUUCUGUAGGACAUCUUCUAUCAUUGGAAGCAGAAGGCACGAGGGAAAAGAUAGUCGUCCACCUCCCCUUGAGGGCUCACAUCCAGCAGUCGAUGGGGCGCCCCAGGAUCCCAAGCAGCUUAUAGUAGGUGACAGAAACCUGUUCUUCUGGGCUCAGUAAUUGCAAGGAAGGGCACUUCUCAGUAGCUGGUGAGUCACAGAAAGCCUCACAGCCCUGCAGGUGAGUAACAGAGGGCGCUCCCAGGUCAGCUGCUCAGUGGGGCCUGGGCCCCCAUAGCUGAAUACACUGGAAAUGCCCUAUUAUGGGGUUCGGAGAGCAACAGGCUGCCCUUCUAAGAGGGACUUUGGCCCGCAGGGACCUUAGGACCUUCCAGUGCCCGCAGGUAGCCAGUACACCUGUCCAAGGGCUGUGGCCUGUCCUGCCA
rnacentral:lncRNA from 1 species